rnacentral:rRNA from 1 species
UACGGGGGGGGCAAGCGUUGUUCGGAAUUACUGGGCGUAAAGGGCUCGUAGGCGGCCAACUAAGUCAGACGUGAAAUCCCUCGGCUUAACCGGGGAACUGCGUCUGAUACUGGAUGGCUUGAGAUUGGGAGAGGGAUGCGGAAUUCCAGGUGUAGCGGUGAAAUGCGCAGAUAUCAGGAGGAACACCAGUGGCGAAGGCGGUGCUCUGGGCCGAAACUGACGCUGAGGAGCGAAAGCGUGGGGAGCAAACAGG